AUGUCAAGUUUGGUAACAGAACGACAGUUUGUGCUGUUUGAGCCGUCAUUCUGUUACCAAACUUUGCAUCUGCACUGCCCCAUUUCCACUGGCCCUCCACCUGGUCCUCCUGCCCCAUUUCCACUGGCCCUCCUGCCCCAUUUCCACUGGCCCUCUACCUGGUCCUCCUGCCCCAUUUCCACUGGCCCUCCUGCCCCAUUUCCACUGGCCCUCUACCUGGUCCUCCUGCCCCAUUUCCACUUGCCCUCUACCUGGUCCUCCUGCCCCAUUUCCACUGGCCCUCUACCUGGUCCUCCUGCCCCAUUUCCACUGGCCCUCUACCUGGUCCUCCUGCCCCAUUUCCACUGGCCCUCUACCUGGUCCUCCUGCCCCAUUUCUACUGGCCCUCUACCUGGUCCUCCUGCCCCAUUUCCACUGGCCCUCUACCUGGUCCUCCUGCCCCAUUUCCACUGGCCCUCUACCUGGUUCUCCUGCCCCAUUUCCACUGGCCCUCUACCUGGUCCUCCUGCCCCAUUUCCACUGGCCCUCUACCUGGUCCUCCUGCCCCAUUUCCACUGGCCCUCUACCUGGUCCUCUUGCCCCAUUUCCACUGGCCCUCUACCUGGUCCUCCUGCCCCAUUUCCACUGGCUCUCCACCUGGUCCUCCUGCCCCAUUUCCACUGGCCCUCCUGCCCCAUUUCUACUGGCCCUCCUGCCCCAUUUCCACUGGCCCUCUACCUGGUCCUCUUGCCCCAUUUCCACUGGCCCUCUACCUGGUCCUCCUGCCCCAUUUCCACUGGCCCUCCACCUGGUCCUCCUGCCCCAUUUCCACUGGCCCUCUACCUGGUCCUCAUGCCCCAUUUCCACUCGCCCUCCUGCCCCAUUUCCACUGGCCCUCUACCUGGUCCUCCUGCCCCAUUUCCACUGGCCCUCUACCUGGUCCUCCUGCCCCAUUUCCACUGGCCCUCUACCUGGUCCUCCUGCCCCAUUUCCACUGGCCCUCUACCUGGUCCUCCUGCCCCAUUUCCACUGGCCCUCUACCUGGUCCUCCUGCCCCAUUUCCACUGGCCCUCUACCUGGUCCUCCUGCCCCAUUUCCACUGACCCUCUACCUGGUGCUCCUGCACCCUUUUUCCACUAG
rnacentral:lncRNA from 1 species